GGGGGUGUAGCUCAGUUGGUAGAGUGCUUGCCUAGCAUCCAAAAGGCCCUAGGUUCGAUCCCCAGUACCUACA
rfam:Cricetulus griseus cell line CHO-K1, whole genome shotgun sequence.